rnacentral:tRNA from 1 species
GGGUAUAGCUCAGUGGUAGAGUGUAUGCUUAGCAUGCACGAGGUCCUGGGUUCAAUCCCCAGUAAGUCCA